rnacentral:sRNA from 1 species
GCAGGUGUCAUAACAGUAUUUCACUGAAGGUUCACGUCAAAACAUGGCUGAGCCAAAAUAAUUCCCAAAUUUUCCUUUGAAUUCGGGGCGUUUCCGCACGCGACAGGAGCUGAAUUUUUUUUAUGAGAUGAAAAAAGAUGUGUCAGAGGUCUAACUAUCCAACCUUUGUAAUAAUGCAAGGUCAUUUGAGUUUUUGGUGCGUGUUGUUUCCGGAGGGGGGUGAAAAGGCCCGGGCUUGAUUUUCAAGCACAUGUGUAACUUCGAGGUAAACAAAGUCUCACGCCUUGCUGGAUGCACGUGUGUAUUUUGCUAGAAAAUUGUAAAUUAAGCGUUGUUUAAAAAGAUGUCAAGAGGAUUUUCUCCAGAAGUUCGUUUUGAAUUUUUAAUCUGUAUGUAAAGUUGUGCAAUUUUGGUAAGAAUAUAUAGUAAAAUUUAAUACUGUAGUGACACCUUAAUGAUGCAUAAAUGACAAAAAUUAGAUAUAAAUUUCACAAAGUAAGCAUUUAUCUAGAAAAAUCUCGGGAAAAAGGUAGUUAAAAAUAUUUGAUGGUUCAUUUCCGAAUGGCCAACAAUUAUCGAAUAUUUCAAUUCUUACACUAUUAAUAGGAUUACAAAAAUCCAAUAGAAUUUACUAUCUUUGUGUGCCAUCAUACAAGAACCAUACGAAUACUUGAUUGGUUGGAAUUGCACGUAAGCAGAAACUAAGAAGCCCUUUUAGUAUUUUUAUUCCAUUACUUAGCCAUCUUCAGGUAGAAUAAAAAAAAAUGUCAAUUAGUCUAUGACGAAGAUGUCACAUUUUGCCAAAGAUAAUACAAGCUUAGCAAUCUGAUUCGUUGCUUUAAACUCUCGUCUGAUCAAAUAUUAUUCCAAGGUGUGUCGUUUGGUUAUGUAACCCCAAACUAUUCCAUGCACUGACAAAUGUUUAGAAUAAUAAUUCGUAACAUUUUUAGUCCCAGAAAGGCACGAUUGAGGAAAUAUUUAUAAAUAUGUUGUGCAUUAUAUUAUUCUCACACACUUAGACGUGUUGAUGCCUAUUGCAAACAUUCAUGUAUCAAACUUCUCAGUUAAGCACUGUUUUCUUAAAGCAUCAAGAUUUUAUACACUUAUGAAAAUAUAAGUUUCUCUGUAACACCCAGCACAUAGAUUUACAACCUCUCUUUUUUUUAAUUUCAAUUUCUGUUGAAUCAUGACAAACAAAAGAUUUACCAAUGUGUCUUAUAAAACGGCCAAAAUGCAUUUUCCUUUCCUCACAACUCGAGAUCAUUAUUUGGGAUCAACUCUAGAUUAUGACUACCUGCAUGAACAUCCGGUUUCUAUUUCAAAGUGAUUAGAAAACCGCAGAAACACGCAGUGGAUAUGUAGGUUGCUGGUAAGACAGCUCAUCAACAGGAUCAACAAGUGUGAUAGGACGGUCCACGGCUAUACUCCUUGCAGCCAAGGGUUGUUCGGUCUUGGUGACGGGUUGACGGUCACCUGACGAUGCACAGGAAGCCCUGAAGGAUAUCCAAAGCACGGCUGUUGACAAGGUUCAGUACGUACAAAGCUCCGAGAUGUUACUCAGGUGCUAGAACUGUGCAGACAAGCAGACAAAUUAUUUCCGGAGGGAAUAGAUAUCCUUGUUAACAAUGCUGGUAAAACUUUUGAAUUUCCUGAAGGUUAUAUCGAUGGCAAAUUUGAAAACAACAUGUACACUCUUUGAAAAUGCUGGACCUUAAAAAAGAUGAAUGUGCUUUACAAUUCAAUUUGAUAUCAGCAAGUUUAAUAUAUAACUCAAAUGGAUAUUCAUGAUUUGAUAUUGAUGAUAUUGAUGUUUUUUAAAUUUUCGUGUGAUUUUUCUUUCCAAAACUAUGAUAAAAUUAAUAUAUUUUGUAUUUCUAGUGUUUGACCAAGAGGUUAUUGAACAUAAAAGAUACAUAACUUGG